rnacentral:miRNA from 1 species
CCGAGUCUAGUUCCUUCGAUAUCAAUGUAAUCUAGUAAUCAUGAUUUUUUUUUUGUUACUAGAUUACAUUGAUAUCGAAGAAACUAGACUCA